rnacentral:rRNA from 1 species
GCAGGCGGCAGCUACACAUGCAAGUCGAGCGGUAACAGAUCCAGCUUGCUGGAUGCUGACGAGCGGCGGACGGGUGAGUAAUGCAUAGGAAUCUGCCCGAUAGUGGGGGAUAACCUGGGGAAACCCAGGCUAAUACCGCAUACGUCCUACGGGAGAAAGGGGGCUUCGGCUCCCGCUAUCGGAUGAGCCUAUGUCGGAUUAGCUAGUUGGUGAGGUAACGGCUCACCAAGGCCACGAUCCGUAGCUGGUCUGAGAGGAUGAUCAGCCACAUCGGGACUGAGACACGGCCCGAACUCCUACGGGAGGCAGCAGUGGGGAAUAUUGGACAAUGGGGGGAACCCUGAUCCAGCCAUGCCGCGUGUGUGAAGAAGGCCCUCGGGUUGUAAAGCACUUUCAGCGAGGAAGAACGCCUAGCGGUUAAUACCCGCUAGGAAAGACAUCACUCGCAGAAGAAGCACCGGCUAACUCCGUGCCAGCAGCCGCGGUAAUACGGAGGGUGCAAGCGUUAAUCGGAAUUACUGGGCGUAAAGCGCGCGUAGGUGGCUUGAUAAGCCGGUUGUGAAAGCCCCGGGCUCAACCUGGGAACGGCAUCCGGAACUGUCAAGCUAGAGUGCAGGAGAGGAAGGUAGAAUUCCCGGUGUAGCGGUGAAAUGCGUAGAGAUCGGGAGGAAUACCAGUGGCGAAGGCGGCCUUCUGGACUGACACUGACACUGAGGUGCGAAAGCGUGGGUA